UAAAAAAACAGGAAAUCAAAACCUUGUAUUGUAAUUACUUUCUAUUAUAAUUAUAAAAGAAACAAGAAACAAAA
rnacentral:ribozyme from 1 species